GGAUUGUGGCUCAGAGUUAGAGCGCUUGCCCAGCAUGCAUAAGGCACUGGGUUCGAUCCUCAGCACCA
rnacentral:tRNA from 1 species